rnacentral:misc_RNA from 1 species
AAGUCGUAACAAGGUUUCCGUAGGUGAACCUGCGGAAGGAUCAUUCGCAAUAAAUGGGUUUUUUAUAAUUCAUAGAAGAAGAAAAAAUCCUUUACCACCUUGAGUGCAAUGUAUGAGAAAAGGGGCCAUUUGGCUUGUCUGAAAUAAACAUAUUCUUUGAAUAACUUAAUUCAAUAAUACAACUUUCAACAACGGAUCUCUUGGCUCUC